rnacentral:lncRNA from 1 species
UUGCUUAUAUAACUAUACUAGCUUCUGCCAGCGGUUUCACCCGCAUCCCGUGGGAACCUCUGCACGAACCCGGAUAAAAAGUAGCCCGAUGAAUUCAACAGGACUGAUAUAAUGUGCUCGCCGAAGUACGGGUGUAUCAAUUACCAACUUCCAGAAGAGUACGAGUUCUUUGUUUGCGAACAAUUUGGUAGGAUCUCGAUGUUAUAAAAACUUACUCUCUAUAAAUGCAUAUAUCGACUUUCCUCUAAAAAACUGUCGUAACAUGAGAGAAAGUAGAAACACAGAUUUAAAUACAGUCUUAUUAAGUUUUUCAUUCUUUAUCGAUCAAUAAAACCGCCACAAUUGUAGUACAAAAAAAAACUAACUAGAUGGCGUAAGUGACGGUUUUUUACGGAGCGAUAUUACGUCUCUACAAUAGUGACGUAUCGAAACUUGUGUCUUGUGAACGUGUGUCAGUGCUCAUGAAAAUCGCCGUAAGCUGUCUUAUGACCAUACUUUGGAAUAAAAAUGUGUGACAGAUUUAAGGACAGCAGGGGCAAAAAGUUACUUCAACUUUUAAAUUCUGAAAGUGACGAAAAUAAAGAAAAUUGUGAUUUAAUAUUAAGAAGAACAAUAAAUAAAAAAUGUUUUUUGUGUUA